rnacentral:rRNA from 1 species
GAUGAACGCUGGCGGCGUGUCUAAUACAUGCAAGUCGAGCGAACAGACGAGGAGCUUGCUCCUCUGACGUUAGCGGCGGACGGGUGAGUAACACGUGGAUAACCUACCUAUAAGACUGGGAUAACUUCGGGAAACCGGAGCUAAUACCGGAUAAUAUAUUGAACCGCAUGGUUCAAUAGUGAAAGACGGUUUUGCUGUCACUUAUAGAUGGAUCCGCGCCGCAUUAGCUAGUUGGUAAGGUAACGGCUUACCAAGGCGACGAUGCGUAGCCGACCUGAGAGGGUGAUCGGCCACACUGGAACUGAGACACGGUCCAGACUCCUACGGGAGGCAGCAGUAGGGAAUCUUCCGCAAUGGGCGAAAGCCUGACGGAGCAACGCCGCGUGAGUGAUGAAGGUCUUCGGAUCGUAAAACUCUGUUAUUAGGGAAGAACAAAUGUGUAAGUAACUAUGCACGUCUUGACGGUACCUAAUCAGAAAGCCACGGCUAACUACGUG